rnacentral:rRNA from 1 species
UCGAGAAUCUUUCACAAUGGGGGCAACCCUGAUGGAGCGACGCCGCGUGGAGGAUAAGGUCUUCGGAUUGUAAACUCCUGUCAUGCGAGAGCAAAGCUUACUGACUAAUACUUGGUGAGUUUGAUAGUAUCGCAAGAGGAAGAGACGGCUAACUCUGUGCCAGCAGCCGCGGUAAUACAGAGGUCUCAAGCGUUGUUCGGAAUCACUGGGCGUAAAGGGUGCGUAGGUGGCGUGGUAAGUCAGAUGUGAAAGCCCGGGGCUCAACCUCGGAAUUGCAUCCGAUACUGCCAUGCUAGAGAAAUGGAGAGGAGUCUAGAAUUCACGGUGUAGCAGUGAAAUGCGUAGAUAUCGUGAGGAAUACCAACGGCGAAGGCAGGACUCUGGACAUUUUCUGACACUG